AAACAAGCCCAUCUUCAAACAGUGGGGAGUUAGCAGCCAAGCUUCCCCAACUCACUGUAAUUUUCAGCUACUUCUACUGAAGAUUUGAUUUUUAUUCUUGUGUUCCCAAUUUUAGAAUCACAUCUAGCUCUGCAAGGGACCCUUAUGUCAGAGAUCUUCAACUGUAUUGAUUUUCAGAUGACUUUAACUAUAAAUCACACAUCCCCCCAAACUAUAUCUCAACUUUAACAAAUCCUCAGCUCCAUGAAGACAUAGCUGGAUCCCAUGGUGUUUGAACUGAAAUGAUAAGUGGCAGCCCUCUCAUGGAACAGCAUUGAUUUUUAAAUCAUAUCAGCCUGAAUCCACCUUCAAGCACUACCCUGAGAAUCCCUUCCCAUCGUAUGGGUGAGCGAUGCAGGGGAGAGAAAGGAAAAGCCUCCCUUAGCACCUUCGUUCUCAGCCACAGGCUUCCUGAGUCCACCCAGGAAAACAAAAGGCCUGCAACUAGAUGGGCCCUCUCUCCUUGGGAAGAACAAAUAUGACCAUUAAGCAUGUCCCUGGACAGUGGAAGGUGAAGAAGGAUCUCAUCCUCCAGCCCAAAGGACUAAUGGAGGAUUCCUGGUAGGAACGUGUGGCGCUCGGCCAGAGUCACCAUCCGUGUUCCACUGGUUUGUUGUCUCACUGCUGUCUCUCACCGAGUUCCUUUUAUACCUGCAAUUGUAACCGAGCCUAUGUUAGAUGAAUCAUAAGGCGUUUGCUGUACUUGUUUUCGUUUAUCGUGGUCCUUUGCUUCCUCCUUGCAUGCCUGUUUGCAUAUAGUCCUUUUGGUGGAAGGGAGUCACUUGUCAUUAAUUAACUUUAUAUCCUAGCCCCGAGGCUGCCCGGAAGAUUAAUGAACGUGUUUUUCUUUCAAAGAACAAUGAUCCUUAGGUCCGGCAGACCUCUUUGAUGUCAUCCAGAAGUUUGAUCAGGCUGGGCCAAGGAAUCCAAACAGCUUUGAUCAUUGGGGUUCUUACCUCCCUGCAUACUUACCCUCCCGUAGAGGCCCCAGCUGUGGUCCUGAAUUGAUUCAGAACUUUCAGUGUAUAUUUCUGAGGCCUUUAAAAAAAAAAAUGAUCCUUUAAUAUAGCUACUGAAAAGUUCUGGAAACAAUGAGUAUCCUUAGUAACAAAUUAGGGUUACUAAAUGUCACUUCCCUCCAGAGAGAACCAGGGCUUUUUGGAGAAGGAUGAUUUCAUAAACUGAAUAAGAUAACCCCAGAAUAUCUCAUCCUACCAGAAAGCAAGGAUGUUAUCAAAGACUUCUGAGGUCCUGUCAUAAGCUGGGGCAAAACUGAGACAAUUUAAACAUCAUUAAAGGCAGAAACUACAAUGCCUCAAAACACUUCAAUUAUGUUGAAAUCUAUUUGCUCAUAAUGUUCUUUUAAAAACUACAUUGAUUAUCUUUGAAGAAUGCUUAGAAGCCCAACUCACUAUUUUUAAAAGCUGGAAAAAAAGGAAAGGAAUCAAGCAUUUAUUACCUUGACUUUUCUGUAUAAACUAUACCUCAAUAUAAGCAAAUAAUUGCUAGAGAGUUUCUCUUUGUAAAAGUAUUGCAGCUAAUAAAUGAAGAAGGGGCAAUAGAAUUAGAAUGUUGCCAUUCUGCCUUCCUUAAUGAAUUAAUGGAUCUAGACACUGAAUGUACGUGGCUGAUGAAAUAUUAGAGAGCGAGGGAAAGAGAAACAGCCUGACAUUCUAAGCCUCCUGAUGGAAAUCCACAAUGCUACCAACCUAUGACAUGUUAUAGAGAGAGAAAAAAAAAACAAAAAACCUGAAUCUGAACAAGCUUGUACAUCACACGUUAGUAAUCUGCCUCCUUGGAGCCAAAUCUGGCCAACUGCCUGCUUUUAUAAAUAAAGUUUUAUUGAAACACA